AGCCGCCGCAGCCCCCAGGGACUCGGGGCGCUGCAGGGGAGACUCGCCUAAGUGCGGCAAGCGGGUCCGCGGGCACGCCCACCCGGGUCCGCCGGAGCUGGGGGGCUGGCGCUUGGGCCCCCUCCCGGCCUCCGCCCCUGAGCACUGCGCAGGCUGUGGGCGGCGCCCGCCGGGGCAGGGGGCGUCCCGGGUCACCCGGCGGCCCGGAUCGGCCCGUGACGCCCUCACCCCACCCCUCGGCGGGCCGCAAACGUCCAGAGAGCGCCCCCUCCCCAAGCCCCGACCUGAGCGGGGCGCUAGAAGCCGGGAGGACAAAUCAGACGAAACAGUGUUGACAUGAGGCAGAUCAGAUGGCCGGCCUUCCUGGUGACCAGAUUUCAGGACAGCAAGCAUCCCGGCCAGACCCCAGGCUGGAGUGCAAUAGCGUGAUCUCGGCUCACUGCAACGACUGCCUCCUGAGUUCAAGGGGUUCUCCUGCCUCAGCCUCCCGAGUAGCUGGGACUACAGGUGUGCACCACCACGCCCAACUAAUUUUUGUAUUUUUAGUAGAGACGGGUUUUACCAUGUUGGCCAGGAUGGUCUUGAUCUGUUGAACUCGUGAUCCGCCCGCCUCAGCCUCCCAAAGUGCUGGGAUUACAGAUGUGAGCCACCGUGCCCAGCCAACAGAUAGAUAUUAUUGUUGCCACUCUACAGAAUUGGAAACUGAGGCUCAGAGAGGUUAUACAUCAUGCCCAGGACCACACAGCAAGUCCUGACAGAGCCAGGGUUGAGCCCAGGCUCCCUGGCUUGGAGCCCAUGCUGCUGGCUUUCAGAGGGUUUUGAGCUCUUCUCCUCUGAGGGGCCCAGGACUGGGGUCAACAUGAAGGUGCCUCAGGUGACCCAGAAGGCAGCUGAGACCUGGACCCCCUCAAAGGCACGCGGGUGCCUGUCAUAGCUCUGGCAGUGACCACGAGCCCAUUGGCCUCUUCCUCCCUGUGAGAGCUGAGCAUGUCUCUGGGGCCUGGCAGGAAACCCAGCCUGUGUGUGUUUCUGCUGCUCAGUCACGUGAGACUGUGGGAAGCUGCUGGGAGGCUCAAGUGAGGCCCCUGCCCCAGCCACAGUGGCGGCCUGACCUCACAUUUCCUUCGCUUCUUCUCUGAGUGAGCAGAUGUGGCCAGCACCCACCACGUGCCAGGACCGUCCUGACACCCUGAGGGCGAGGGGGGCACCGUGGCAAUGUAUCGGAGGGAGAGGGCACAGGCUCUGCAGCUUGAAUACUAAGGCUGAGUCCCUUCUUGAGGGACCCCAGGCUCCUUGCUCCUGCAAUGGGGACCAUUGCACUUGCUAAUUUCACAUGUUUAUCCUUUCAUUUAUUUGCCUAUCCAUUGGUGGAUGGAGCCGUUAAAACAUAGUUAAUGAGCCUUUGUUUAUAGCCUGCAGCUAAGAAAAGAGCUCUGUGAAUCUAAAGCCCUGUAUGAAAUGUAGUUCUCUGAUGGGGGCGUCUGGGUACCUCCCACCACUGCCCCUGUGUAGCCUAGGCCAAGAGGGCCUUUGGUGCCAUUGAAGGACUGAGUGAAAACCUGACUUGUCUGAGGGCUCUGUGCACUGGGGGGCACCCCUGGACCCUACCCUGUCCCCUGUCACCAUAGUCAGGGAGACAGGCCCGACAGUGCACAGUGACUAACCCAGGGCCACACCAUGUGUUAGGCAGAAUAAUGGCCCUCUCCUCAAAGAAUUCCAUGUCCUGAUCCCUGUAGCCUGUGAAUUUGUGGCCUCACGCACUCCUUAUGGCGAGAGGAACUUUGCAGAUGUGAAUCAGGGUCUUGAGAUAGGGAGAAGGUGCUGCAUUCUCCCAGGGGGCCUGACAUCAUCACAAGGGUCCUUAUAAGAGGUGGGCAGGAGGGUCAGAGUGAGAAAAGGGCGAAAUGACAAUGGGAACAGAGAGAGAUUGGAAGAUGCCACCUCUGUGGCUUUGAAGCUGCAGGAAAUGGCCACAAGCCAAGGAAUGCAGGUGCCUCUGGAAGCCAGAAGGGCAAUGAGUGACCAGAUUCUCUCCUAGAGCCCCUGAAGGAGCACAGCCCCACCCACACCACAGCCUCCAGAACUGUAAGAGAAGAAAUUUAUGGGUUUCUUUUCUUUUCUUUUUUUUCUUUCUUUUCUUUCUUUUUUUUUUUUUUUUUUUUUUUUUUGAGAUGGAGUCUUGCUGUGUUGCCCAGGCUGGAGUGCAAUAGUGUGAUCUCAGCUCACUGCAACCUCUGCCUCCCAGGUUCAAGCAAUUCUCCUGCCUCAGCCUCCUGAGUAGCUGGGAUUACCACGCCCAGCUAAUUUUUGUAUUUUUAGUAGAAAUGGGGUUUCCCUAUGUUGGCCAGGCUGGUCUCAAACUCCUGACCUCAAGUGAUCCACCCGCCUCGGCCUCCCAAAGUACUGGGAUUACAGGUGUGAGCCACCAUGCCUGGCCAAAAUUUGUGUUGUUUUAAGCCUCUAAGUUUGUGGCUAUUUGUUAGAGCGGCCACCAGAAACCAGGAUACCCGGCAAGGCUGUGACUGGAGCCUGGGACUUCUGCCACCCAGCCUCUCUGCCCGGGAUGGGACCCCUGUUCCACGGCCUUCCAUCCAGAGCUCCCGGGCUGUGAGAUUGCCUGGGUGCUUCGAGAUUAUUUUUCCUUCCAUAGAGUGCUUAAAAUGUUACAAAGAAUAUUAUCUGUAUAAAAGAACUUGAAUAAUGUGGAAAAAGCUCACCCAAGCUCACCAGCGUCGCCAGCACUCACUGGCAGAACUGGAACCUGGAAGCCCCUAUGGGCUCCUCCCCAGGCAAACACUGCUCCAUCCUCCUGGAGGUGCUUACCCACCUGAAGCAUGUGCUUUACAGUUUUACACACAUUUGUGCCCACAGGGCACCUUUCAUGGGACACUCGUGCCAGCCAGGGGUGUGUAAGGAAGAUGGAGACUCUGUCCCAAACAGGGCUGCAGCGUCUCCUGAGAGAGGUGAAAAUGACCUCAGAAGCCAGUUUCUGAUGACAGGCCGGACAGGGAAGCAGCUCUCAGCCUCUGCCUGGGGCUCCUGGAACACCUGCUACCUCGACUCUCAGGCCUCACCCCUGCCACCCUGACCACCCCGCCCCCUGCAGCUGCUGAAGGGCCCUUCCUCUUGACUUGCAGAUCUGACUGUGAUUGAAAGGUAGUGUCUGUGCAGGAAGGGGACCAUCACACACCGGGGCCUGUUGUGGGGUGGGGUGAGGGGGAGGGUUAGCAUUAGGAGAUAUACCUAAUGUUAAUUGCAGCACACCAACAUGGCACA
rnacentral:lncRNA from 1 species